AAGUCUUAACUCUCAAGUUUCUCCCCGUCUCUUAGAUUUCCAUAUACUGUAUACGGGUCUCUUGAAUCGCUAACGGCGGCCGGAGGUGCAAUCGUUUUAAUUUUUCCGGCGAGCUCUGUAAGUUUAAAAUGCAAUAGAAGUAGAAGGAGAAGCUAGUACUGGCAGGUGAUAAUUAACCUAUAAUGAGGUUUUUUAGUUUGGUACUGAUGGUGACGGUGGCGGUUCUGGUCAAAGCAACGGCGGCGUUUCAAAAUAUUAACGGAG
rnacentral:lncRNA from 1 species